rnacentral:rRNA from 1 species
UACGAAGGGGGCUAGCGUUGCUCGGAAUCACUGGGCGUAAAGGGUGCGUAGGCGGGUCUUUAAGUCAGGGGUGAAAUCCUGGAGCUCAACUCCAGAACUGCCUUUGAUACUGGAUGGCUUGAGUUCGGGAGAGGGAUGCGGAAUUCCAGGUGUAGCGGUGAAAUGCGUAGAUAUCUGGAGGAACACCGGUGGCGAAGGCGGCAUCCUGGACCGACACUGACACUGAGGAGCGAAAGCCAGGGGAGCAAACGGG